rnacentral:lncRNA from 1 species
AAAAUUACCAAUCAAGCAAGGAUCUUGAGCAGAAGCCAAGGGAGAGGGCACCCUUGAAGAGGAAAGAUGAAUGCAAAUUCCCUAGAACUGCAAGAAAUCCUGCUGCAGUUGACUGCCAUGAAGAUCCAGCUGCUCUAUCAGCUCCGCCUGGCCACACACCCUGUGAGGACCAGGGCUUCCCCAC